rnacentral:rRNA from 1 species
CUACGGGCGGCACCAGUUAGGAAUAAUCUACAAUGCGCGCAAGCGUGAUAGUUUGAGCCAGAGUGCUUUUCUUUUUGAAAAGCUUUUGUGAAAUGUAAAAAGUUUUACGAAUAAGGACUGGGUAAGACGAGUGCCAGCCGCCGCGGUAAUACUCGCGGUCCAAGUCGCAGCCAUUUUUAUUGGGUCUAAAACAUCCGUAGCUUGCUUAAUAAGUUUCUUGUGAAAUUUUAUGUCUCAAACAUGAACUGUGCAAGAAGUACUGUUUAGCUAGAGACUGGUAGACGUAAGAAGUACGUUCAGAGUAGCGGUAAAAUGUGUUAAUCCUGGGCGGACUAACAAAGCGAAGGCAUCUUACGAGAACAGUUCUGACAGUAAGGGAUGAAGGCUAGGGGCGCAAAACGGAUUAGAUACCCUCGUAGUC